AAGGAUUUAAGUUAAAAAAACUAACAACCUUCAAAGUUGUCAAUAGAAAGGUUUCUAAGCCUUA
rnacentral:tRNA from 1 species